UCAGAGGGGGCUUCCUGGAAGGUGAGGAAGCAGACACAGCUGGGAAGAAGGGAAACGGGCAUGUGGGCUGCUGGCCGGAGCCUCCGGGAGCGGGGUGCAGUCCCCAGACAAAGGGCAGAAGGAAGAUGAAGACUGCAGCCCUCCAGCCUCGCCCAGUGAGCUGGCAGGGCAGCCCGACCUCCAGGAAGAGGUGCGGCUGGCCGACCUGGACUGCGGCUCUGAGCUCCUGCGCAGACGAGCAGCUGACCCAUGGCUGGGCUCCCACCCCGAGGAAACUGUCUGAAGACUGAGGCCCAGAGUGGUGAUGACCCAACCAGCCUGAGGCCGCACACCCAGGAGCUGGGAUCCAAGCUCCCUCCCCACCCAGGGCUGUAGGGGCGCCCUGAUUGACUCGCCCGCGUGGAGACUUCUCGCGACAUACCUGGUUUCCGCCGGCUCUGUGCUCGCUGCUCACCCAGCUUAAUUGAGUGUGUCUCUCCCUCGAUACUCUAACCAGCCACGAGGUGCGGCUUUUAAUGAUGAAUAAACAACA